CGUCAGGAUAGAUUAAAGGCCCAUUUUAAUGAACUAACAUCCACAGGCGGUCUAAAUUAAUCGGUAUAUCUUUCGAAAGCGUCGGCCAUUCUUUCCCGCCACACGGCGGACCGGGGGAAGAGUUUUUCCUCAUGCGACUAUAUUGGCCCAACGCGGAAGUGCUUUUCAACGGAGCCUACCGCUGUGUCUCUGAUAAUCUCCCUCUCCAUGGAUCUUUUGUAAAGCCUAAUCAGGAAGUAGGAGGAACCGAAGAAAUUGAUGAGCUUAUCGAUGGUAUCUCGAGCAGUGAACCAGAGCCUAAAUCGUAGUUAUGGUGUAGGGUUAAUAAGAAAGAAGGUACAAGAAGAUGGGGACAGCCUUGAGAGCGUGUUUAAGCUGCGAAAUGGAAGGGAGGAAUUAGAGUCCGUCUGGAUGCAUCGAAAACAGUACAGAAGCUGACGCUUGCUGUUCCUAUACCAGUAGUUUCUUUGGAUGGGUACACAAAUGCUGGGAAGAGUACGCUCUUGAAUCAGUUGGCUGGAGUGGAAGUCCUUGCAGAGGAUUGAUUGUUUGCAACCACCUUUAAUCCAGCUGCAAGAAGGGUUCAGGUUGACAAGGUUAGUGAUCCUCAAAAUAUUAGAGGGGAUGUUAUUUGUGUACAAGUGAGAUCCCACGUAGCAUCCUGUAUAGAGGUGUGAAAACCUCCCUUUAGCAGACGCGUUUCAAAACUAUGAGGCUGACAGCGAUACGUGAUAGGCCAAAGUGGAUAAUAUCUGCACCAAGUGAUGAUGGUUUGGACGAAUUCUGCAAUGGAGUUCGGGGAAAAUUGAAGGACUCAAUGGUUUGGGUAGAAGCCUUGAUCCAGUUUGACGGAGGCGAGUUCUUGAGCACUGUGUAUCAGGUUGAAGUGGUAGAGAAAACUGUAAGUAAAUCCUCCAUCCUUUCUGAUUUCCAUUUAGUUUUCUUGUUUUGGAAGAUUUUUAAAUAUCUUGAGAGUGCAUUUGGUUGAAGCAAUUUGUUGGUGUAUUUAAAAAAAUGGUGGUAGGAAGAGAAGCUAUUUAAAAAAUGUGUCAACAAAUUGACAUCUACUCUUUUUCUUGAGGUCGGUGGUAGGAAGAGCAGCUCAAAGUUUGACAAUGUCCUAGAUGGUAAGAAAUGAAAAAUAAUGAUGUUGGAUGACCCAUCCGGUAACAGUUCAAGCCCACUGCUAGCAGCUAUUAUUCGUUUUGGCCCGUUACAUAUCGUCAUUAGCUUCAUAGUUUUAAAACGCGUCUGCUAGGGAGAAGUUUUCGUAUCCUUAUAAAAAAUGUUUCGUUUCACUCUCCAACUAAUGCAGCUAUUUUGUAAGUAUAACAGAUUGUAAACAGAGAAGCCAAGCAAAUAGUGCCAUGGCUCCAUUCAGAGGCCCAGCCUAAUGGGAUUACGGGGAAAAAAAAAUUACACUACAAAUUAUUUGGUACUUGGUCAGAUUUUUCUGGUAGGUACAUAUCUUUGGGUCACGCAUCAUUAUCAGGCAUCGUUGUCCUGAAGUCACCAGUAAAAAAAUGGAUUGAGUCGGCGAUCUACCCUAUGCAGGACCAGAAUCUGAGCCAUAAUUAGAACAUUUAUAUAUAGAAACCAUUGGGGGGUUGAGUAAAUUUUUGGUUCAACCAAUAUUUGAAGUCAUUGUAUGGCUCACCAUCUCUUUCUCUCUCUCUCAUGGCCUAAUGAGCCCUCUUUUUGCCGAAUAAAGCCAUUCAUUUAUAA